UGGGGAAUAUUGGACAAUGGGGGGAACCCUGAUCCAGCCAUGCCGCGUGUGUGAAGAAGGCCUUAUGGUUGUAAAGCACUUUAAGCGAGGGGGAGGGUACUGGUAUUAAUACUACCAGGUACUGGACGUUACUCGCAGAAUAAGCACCGGCUAACUCUGUGCCAGCAGCCGCGGUAAUACAGAGGGUGCGAGCGUUAAUCGGAUUUACUGGGCGUAAAGCGUGCGUAGGCGGCUAAUUGAGUCGGAUGUGAAAUCCCCGAGCUUAACUUGGGAAUUGCAUUCGAUACUGGUUAGCUAGAGUGUGGGAGAGGAUGGUAGAAUUCCAGGUGUAGCGGUGAAAUGCGUAGAGAUCUGGAGGAAUACCGAUGGCGAAGGCAGCCAUCUGGCCUAACACUGACGCUGAGGUACGAAAGCAUGGGGAGCAAACAGG
rnacentral:rRNA from 1 species